UCGUCGCGAAAGUGCUGGGUGCACCGGAUGUGCUGCCACCACGUCCCGAAGGGUCCGAACGUGCCAUUGCGCCGUUCGAUUCGGCGCGAAAAAC
rnacentral:tRNA from 1 species